rnacentral:lncRNA from 1 species
GGGGAGGAGAGAGGGAGUGAGGCGUGAGGCGGCGGGAAGAGGUUUAAAUAGCGGAGACAGAGGGAGAAGACAUUUUGAAAACAAUCAGAAAUAAUUUUUAUUUGAGGCUGCUCCUUGAAGUCUAGCCGCGGAGUACGUGGUGACGUUUUCCGAACUUCCAGUCUCAUGUCUCUCAUGGACAAACACAAAGUGAAGCGGCAACGUCUAGAUCGUAUAUUUGAAGAAAAGAGGCGAAGUACUUCCCCAAUGGAAAUAAUUGUUUGUCCAAAUUGGAAGCAAUGCAGUGCGAUAGAAUUGCGGUGUAAAGUUUUGUCUUACAUUUCUGAUAUCACAAGCCCUUCGUAA